GCCAGGUAUAGUGGCACACACCAGUAAUCCCAACUACUAGGAGGCUGAGGCAGGGGGAUCACAAGUCCAAGGCCAGCCUGGGUGACUUAGUGAGAUUCUGUCUCAA
rnacentral:sRNA from 1 species